rnacentral:rRNA from 1 species
UGCAGUUAAAAAGCUCGUAGUUGGAUUUCUUCGUUGGUGCGACCGCCCGUCGCCUUCUAGGUGCAUGGGACAGGUUUGCGUUGACGAAUCUUGCCACGAACUGCUCUGACCUUCAUUGGUUGGGGUUCAGGGACUGGCUCGUUUACUUUGAGAAAAAUAGAGUGUUCAAAGCAGGCGUUUGCCUUGAAUAAGUUAGCAUGGAAUAAUGAUAUAGGACUUUGGUUCUAUUUUGUUGGUUGUUCGAGGACCGAAGUAAUGAUUGAUAGGGACAGUUGGGGGCAUCAGUAUUCUGAAGCGAGAGGUGAAAUUCUUGGACCUUUGGAAGACUAACAACUGCGAAAGCUUUUGCCGAGGAUGUUCUCUUUAAUCAAGAACGAAAGUUGGGGGAUCGAAGACGAUCAGAUACCGUCGUAGUCUCAACUAUAAACUAUGCCGACUAGGGAUUGGUGGACGUUUUAUUUCAACU